UAUAAUAUAUAAAUUGUACAUUUUCGCUUAAAUGAAGUGAUUUUAUUUAUAAACUUAAAUAAAUCACGGCGAGAGCAAGUCGUGGUGUGGUGGCAACAGCGAAGUAAGAAAAUUGACGCAUGCGCAAGUGCGAAGAGUGUGAAAUUUCUCUAAAGUAAGGUCUAACUUUAGGCGUUUACUAAUUUAAUGCUUGACUUGACUUGAAAUCUUAUUCAAAAGCACCAUUUUGAGACAUUUUCUUUAUUUUAUAGCAAUUGAUUUUUUUUGCGGUUUAAAUUUUUUAACAGUAAACAUUUAAAAUUUGUCAAAUAUCAUACAGAAAUAAUAUUUAAAAAUUUUUGAAUUUUCUUCAAACUUAAAAAUAACUGCUGUAUUUUGUGCGAAAAUACCUUAUUUCUGCUCUUUUUGUGCAGCAAAACUUUUAAAAAUGUAGCGAAAGUAAAGAGGAAAAAUCAUUUAAAUUUAAAAAAAUUUAGAGAAAAAUCGCAACAUUUUUUCCCUCAAUGUACGUAAGCAUGGUCGUUUGAAAUAGUAGAAAUCUUUAAAAAGGAAUAAUAAGAAUAAAAAUGAAAAAAACGCACUAUAAACAACAAAAAAAAAAACAUACAUACAUACAUAAAAAAUGUUGGAAAAAAUGCAAAAUUUUGUGUCUGCAAAAGAGUUUGGCUUACUUAUGAAUGAAAAAAUGUAUCAGCGAAAAAUGUGUAACAAAAUGGUGAAUCUUUCUUAAGUUCCUGCUGCUAUUGUAAAAUUCCAAAUUUCUAUCCUAUGAAUGUUUUAAUAGAAAAUAUGAGAAACUAUGUAAGUGGUGCUGCGUUAGGCGUGGCUCUUUUUUAUUACAAACUACCGAUAAAUGAAUAAAAAGCACAUACAUACUAUUAUAUACUA